rnacentral:lncRNA from 1 species
GAUAUGAUAGAAGCGGCGGCCGUGAUGAUGGUAGUCGUGGUGGUGGCGCCAGAGGAGGACGAGAUAGGGGAGGAUAUGGUGUUAAUUCACAAAGUCGAGGUAAUUAAUAUUCUGCUCCUUUUCUUCUAUAAGUUAAUUAAUAGCGAAAUAUAUGUGUAAGGGAAUCUGUAUAUAAUCUACAUUUCUCCUACUGAAAUUCUCUCUUUUCUAAUACAGGUAGGUUUGCCCCUUUCUUGGCUUUCUUUUUCUCUGUAUAUAUUUGUGUUUUUACAUAUUUGUGAUGAAGUUGGUGUUUCUCGCAAAAAUCUUUGGCACUCCCUUUUAUGAUUUAUUUUUUCUGUUUGAUAUGUUUCCCCAUUUUGGUUGUUGAAUUAUAGAUUUCUUGGCUUUCUUUUUCUCUCUCUGUAUUUAAGUGUGUUUUUAAAAAAAUCAUUGGUGCCACCUUUUUUUAUUUCUUUUUUCUGUUUGAUAUGUAUCUCUAAUUUCUUUUUUCUGUUUGAUAUGUAUCUCUAAUUUUUUUGACAACUGAGGGGUGUUUUUGUUGAGUAUAUAUAAACUUUUUUGGCUUCUUUGGGUCUUGAAUAAGCGAAAUAUAUUGUAUCUGUUAUUCUUGAUAUAAGGGAAUUCGUCUGAAGUAUUGGGCUCUUGAGGUAUAAAGCAUAAACUUAAGAAAUAAACAUAUGGCUUAUGUAUAUAUGAUCUGAUGUACCUUAUUAUUACUUCUGCCAUUAUUAUUUUGUCAAUAUAAAAAUUAUUGACUGUAUGAUAUUUGUAUAUAUCUCUUUCUUUGAGAUAAUUGAGGGAUUAAGGAACGAAACAGAAAGAGUGGGAAAGAGAUCGGUUGGCUUUUCCCUUUUCCUCUUUUAUUUCAUAAGUUGGUUGGUAGAUGAUUAGUAGAUUAUAGAGUAAAAUAGCUAAAUAGGGGUAUGAAUGUUUCAAACUUUCUCAGUAGAGUUGGAUUGAACAUCAUUAAUAUAUCUAUACACGUUUAUGCACAUAUCUAUCUAUACAAAACAUACAUACAUACAUACAUCUAUUCGUAGUGCAAAACACAAUUGUUUUUGAAAAAACUUAAUUUUCCGCUCAAAGCCUAUUAAAAGAUCCAGACCGUCCAAAGUUGGGAUANNNNNNNNNNNNNNNNNNNNNNNNNNNNNNNNNNNNNNNNNNNNNNNNNNNNNNNNNNNNNNNNNNNNNNNNNNNNNNNNNNNNNNNNNNNNNNNNNNNNGAAACUUUUCCUCAUGGAUCUUUGGGUUCUUAGUAAUGGGUAUUUCUGCUCUGUUAGGUAUAGUGGCAAAUUCAUUUUUUUUGAACUCCUUAAUUUCUCUAAAAAUACAAACUUGCAUGAUUCUUAAUUUUUCGCUCAAAGCCUAUUCAAAGAUCCGGAACGUCCAAAGUUGGGAUAAAUCUAACCCUUUAAAAAAAUAAGUUAGCUUCACUUAUCUUUCACAUAAAUAGUGAACGGUAAAUACCAUUUUAGAAAGCACAUUCAAAAUCUUAUCCUUUUUAUCUUUCUUAGAUCUUACUCUCAGCUACCACCUUCUCCUUCAGUUUCAAUCUCAUUCGUUUCAACCCUUAUCUCAUACGCAUACGGUAAAUACCAUUUAUGAUCUUUGUAAUGCUAUCGCAUUAAGAUUUCAAAAAGAGGAUUCCCUUCCUUGGUUAGAAAAAUUCCUUUUCUACCAUUCACCCUUAUCUCAGAAGCUGAAAACCUUUGUACAAAGGCGUACAUUCGAAUAUGUUGUAAUUUUCAUUUUCAUCAAGAAGCUCACUGCUGUUGUUAUUGAAACGACUCUUGAUGUAUAAAAUAACUCUGGACAUAAGGUUUGGCAAAAAGUAGAGUUUGUCUUUGGAUGGUUGUAUGUCCUGGAAAUGGCACUAAAAUUUUAUGCAUAUGGAUUUGAGAACUGUUGGAGGGAUGGUCAAAAUCGUUUUAAUUUUGUUAUCACCUAGGUUAUAGUUAUUGGAGAAACAACAACUUUUGUGUCUCCCAAGGGACUGACUUUUCUUUCAAAUGGAGAAUGGAUUCGUUAUCUUCUUAUUGCAAGAAUGUUACGAUUAAUAAGGCUCUUAAUGCAUGUACGUCAUUACCUAGCCUUUGUUGCCACAUUUCUAACUCUCAUUCCAAGUUUAAUGUCGUACCUGGGUACCAUAUUUUGCGUCCUGUGCUUUUAUUGCUCUCUAGGUGUGCAGAUCUUUGGUGGGAUAGUAAAUGUUGGAAACACCGAUUUGGUUGAAACAUAUCUUGCAGAUAGUGACUAUCUACUUUUUAUUUUUAAUGACUACCCAAGUGGAAUGGUGACACUUUAUAGAGAGGUAUGUUACGGUCUGAUUAGUUAGUUUAAGUGAUGAAAUUGUAUGAUUAUGUAAUUUUUAAUUUGUAAUUUUGGAUCUGAAUUUGUGUUAUACGCUUUUGACAUUUUCUUUUCGGCUCGAACGACAAAAAAAAUUUGGUGUAAAAUUUGGGGUAGUAUGGCUAGAGUAUAUAUGUUGGGGUGUAAAUUUGAAACAAGAGCUAAGUUAUUAUCUUUGAGCAGGAGGAGGCAGGAAGGUAAGGAGUUAAACCUCCACUAAGGCUGCUGAGUCAUUCAUAGAAUAGCAGGAUGUGGCAUAAUACUUAUAUGUUAAACCUCCACUAAAUUUGGCUUAGCAGGUGCUGGAAAUUAAUAAGAAAAUUAAGUGUUAACUAACUGUUAAGUACCAUAACACAUAAAGGCUUGCGAAAACUUCUUCAAUUUCGGAAAAGAAGAAAAGUAAUGGGCUAAAUUGGAAAUAUAGUGGAGGUUUAACUCCUUACCUUCCUGCCUCCUCCUCCUCCUGCUAUUUUAUUAUGAGCUUCGGUUUGGACUAGGAUAGCUUUUGUGGGUUUUGUACAUGUUUGAAGCAAAACCCAUUAUUUUCACUUUUAGCUCGACUGAGUUUUGUAGAUUUUUGAAGUAAGCCCAUUAUGUUUUGACUUUGACCUUUUUCGGGUAUUGUAGAUUUUUGUACAACAAUGUGUAAGAUUGCUUGAAUCAUUGUAUUGAUUGCUUGAAUCAGUCAUUGGCAGCACUUAAUAGAUACAAUGUCUGCACUGUUUGCCCAUUUUAUGUGCAAGAUUUAGCUCUUUGUUCAGUGAUUGGGCAAACAGUUGGAUCUUGACGUUAACAACGAUGAUAAAUUAAGAAUGUCAAGUUAUUUUAAAAUUAAAAUAUAUAUAUUUUUUGAGAUAUCUCUUAUAAAUGCAUUUUUUGAAACAGAGGAUUAUUUGUUACUACUAAUUUUUUUGACCGGAGCAUUAUACCACAAUAAUGACAAAAUGGAAAUGGAUUCUUUACUACUAAGGUGGUGUUUGGUCACGUGCCUUUUUCUCUUUACUUGAUAUGACAAUCCAGAUGAAUAAUUUUAAAAUUGUUUUUAAAUUUAGUUUGGCCUACCAACCUUACUUUCUUUCACUGAAUAAUUUUCACUUUUAAUGUUGAUGUAGUUUAGAUGUGCUAUUUAUUAAAAAAAAUUACUUGGAAGUUGAUACAGAGUAGUUCACUUUCAGUUUGUUUAUUUGUUUUGUGUGCACUCCUACAAAUUACACUUCUUUUGUUUCAUUUAUUCCCGAGUUGGUGGACUGCGGAGUUUAGCACAUAUGAAAUUAGAAAGGAAAAAAUAAAGAAAAAUAAUAAUGUUCUUCUGGCCCCCAAAGUGCACACAUGUACGAAAAAGAGCCAUAAACUUAUCAAAAACUCCACUUAUCACUGAUUCACUGGAGUUAACUUUCAACAUGUGAAUAGAACCAAAUGGAAUGAACCCAAAAAAUAGCCGAUAAUUUAUUCUUAUGGAAUUAUGAGCCUUGAAAUAAGUAUUGAAGCCAUGAACUUGAUCACAUUACAAGUGUUUAUAACCCAUAAAAAAUUGCAAAUUUGGAGUUUGGACUAGGAUAAUAUUUCCAUGGUUAAGAAGCUCCGGUCUGCAAGGAGCAAAACUCAGGAGCACAACUGAAAAUUAUGAGCUUCGAUUUGGACUAGGAUAGCUUUUGUGGGUUUUGUACAUGUUUGAAGCAAAACCCAUUAUUUUCACUUUUAACUCGACUGAGUUUUGUAGAUUUUUGAAGCAAGCCCAUUAUGUUUUGACUUUUACCUUUUGCGGGUUUUGUAGAUUUUUGUACAACAAUGUGUAAGAUUGCUUGAAUCACUAUAUUGAUUGCUUGAAUCAGUCAUUGGCAUCAUCCUACUGGAGGUUGGCCUAUAAUUUAUAUGUUAGUUAUGAAAUUGCGUAACACUACACAAUCACACACAAAGAGGAAAAAAUAAUUUUUAAUUGCGUAACACUACACAAUCACACAGAGGAAAAAAUAACAUUAUAUCUGAACCGCAUUUUUUUUAAUUUUCCAUGUCUUAGGGUAUAGAAGACUUGAUUCUCAAAACUCAAAAGUAAGAAUAGUUAGACUAAGAAGAAUUAGACAAGGAAAAGGAAAAUCAUAACUUACGAGAGAUGGAAUUGCUUCAUAGGUAUUUCAAUGCGAUAGAUGCAAUUUAUGUCCUCUCUGUGGUUCGUAGCUCACCAAAGAAUGGUUUGAACUUUGCAGAGAUUCGGUUAAGCACUUGAGAAUUAUAGAGAUGGAGAAAUGCUUUUAUAGAUUAACUAUGUACCAUUAUCUCACCUAUUAUUAGACAACAUAAAAAUAACUAAAAUUUAAAUCUUUCUACAGUAUAUAACCCCCCAUAGGCCAUAGUAGUUGUGUACAAAUAGUCUUUAAGAUUGUUCAUAACAAAAUAGAAUAGAUUAGAAAAAAAACAUUCUUUGAUGCCCUUCCGCAAAAAUGCAUCAUACCUUCACCAGGCUCUUACAUUGCAGCUGCAAAUGCAAAAGCCAAAAAGUAACAUAUACGACAAUAAAAACAAAUAAUACAUGGAGAGUGAGUCCGUGAGAGACCAUAAUCACAUUUCAAAUACUAUCAUAAAUCAGAAUUUUACCCAUCUUAUUACUUUGUAGCUACAAGAGGAAAGAGUACAUUUAUAACUAUAAUAAUAUCCGUACAUAUCUUACUAAUAAAAAUUUAAGAAUGGGCUGCCUAAAUUAGCAGUCCGAUAGAUAAGACUACAACUAAUCAAUAAAUAAAACUAACAUGUACAACAAGAUGGAUAAGAAGUCGUUAAGCUUGAAAAUAUUAGAUUAAUAUGAUGCACAAUUUUCUGUUACAGUUUAACAGAAUAUUCAUGCUCGAAAUGUCCUCACAGGCAAAAAUAGCAAUCACUAAGAAGAAAUUGUCAUUGGAAAAAUUCUUUACCUGUAUAUGACACUCAUAAUUGCAUCAUCCUACUGGAGGUUGGCCUAUAAUUUACAUGUUAGUUUUGAAAUUGCGUAACACUACACAAUCACACACAAAGAGGAAAAAAUAAUCUUUAAUUGCGUAACACUAUACAAUCACACGGAGGACAAAAAUAACAUUAUAUCUGAACCACAUUUUUUUUAACUUUCCAUGUCUUAGGGUAUAGAAGACUUGAUUCUCAAAACUAAAAAGUAAGAAUAUUUAGACUAAGAAGAAUUAGACAAGGAAAAGGAAAACCAUAAUUUACGAGAGAUGGAGCUGCUUCAUAGGUAUUUCGAUGCGAUAGAUACAAUUUAUGUACUCUCUGUGGUUUGUAGCUCACCAAAGAAUGGUUUGAACUUUGAACUUUGCAGAGAUUCGGUUAAGCACUUGAGAAUUAUCGAGAUGGAGAAAUGCUUUUAUAGAUUAAUAAUGUAUUGAAGAGUUUUUAGUUUAAAUACCUAGAGCUUAAGGGUUAUGUGGCUACAACAGAGAAUGAAACCUGUAUUUAAUGUCUAUCCGGUGUUUGUUUUUUCUACACUUUUUGAUGCAUGGAACCAACCGCUACCUACAGGGCCACGAGGUAAACAUAAUUUCCAAAGCCAUAGCCAACUGACCAAACUAAAAACCAUGGACUUUUGGCCAAUCUGAUUCGGAUAAUCGUACUUCAUAUGUCCCUCUCAUGUAAGAGUUUAGGAAAUAGUUGAAGGGAAGGAACUAAAAGAAUAAGUAGAUCAAAUUAAAAAUUUCUUAAAAAUUACAACAUUAUUGGUUUUUCUUGGAUUAGAUGUACCUUUAGCAGUCUAAAGAUCAAAUUUAAUUCUAGCAAUAGAAUUUAAAACUUUUGGUUAUCAGACAAUCAGAGCUUUAAAAAAAAUGGAAAUAUACUAAUAUUGCUCUUUUCAUCCUCAAUUAUAAGUUCAUCCUUCCUUCUCAAGACCUUAGAGAAAAGGGUAUACUCUAAAGCUCUCAUACUAUAAGUUUAGAACCGUAAAAUUAAUUUGGGCAAAACCUUCGAAUUUUGGCCAUGGUGUCCUGCAAAGAUCAGUUAUGAAAAAAUCUAAAUAGGAUUAAUUCCGAUGGAAUUUCCAUGUUACAAAAAAUCAAGUAGUUUGUUGUUCUUUCAUACAAGCUUACCCUUCCAUGUCCUGCAAAGAUAAUUUAUUUACCUGAUCUAUUCAUAAUUCGUGUUAAUCUUCUCACUUUACUUCUUUCUGUUAUAUUUGGUCAACAGAAUCAUUUUAUUGUGGAUUAAUUGACAGUAAAUGUUUUUAUCCCUAAUUUGGUCUGUGUAGUUAUUUUUCUGGCGACAUAGUUAGCACUGGGUUUCUUUUCUUCGUCUAUUUUGACUCUGUAGUCAUUAAUCUCUUACCCUGUGUGGAUUAUUGAUAAUUUACAUAUCUUACUUUUAAUAAACAGAAUGAAUCUAACUCUCUUUUAAACAUAUAUACACAGGAUAAGACAAAAACCAGAAGGGAGAAUCAAAUUGCCUCACACUAAUAAAGUUAAUUAAUAUCUAUCGAAUGCAAACAAGGAAAGAAAAAGGAAUUUGUCAUGCAUCUACAAUCAUUUGUCUCAUUUCACUGAAGUUUCUGCUAUGAUUUAUUUGGAUUCUAAUUCUGCGAUUAAGCAAUUUGUGAACUAAAAAGGUACUUCAAAAUUUCAAAGUUCUAACACUAUAUUUGAUUUAUGUGGCUUACUCUGUUUCUUUCUUAAACUGCAUUUAUAUAAUAGAUACAGUGUCUACAUUGAUUUAAGCUCUUUUUGUUGUGUGGGUUUCUGAUUAUUAGUGAUUGUGAAUAUCUUCUAAAUAUUAGGUUUUAUUUUGUUGGGCUUUUUGGUUGUGUCUAUGGGUUGUCAUCUGGGUUCAGUCACGCUUAAUCUUUUUUGGGUUAUUUUAAUGUGCAUUUGUGGUUGUUAAUUCAGUAUGAUUUUUAUUGGGUUAUAUAUCUUAAAGACUAUUUUUAAUCUUUUUUCUGUGACUUAUAAGUGGGUUAGAAAAGUUUGGUUCUUUCUUCAUUCAUCAGUUUCCUCUUAGCUUAAAACUCAAGUACUUGAAACCAUACAUUUCCAACACUCUACAUUUUCACCUGUUCUAGACAGAAAAUUUACUAGCACUAACAAGUAUAUACAAAAGAGAUGAUGAAAAUGAUUGGAAUUUUCUCUCCGACAAAGAGGAGAACGACGAUAGGAUACGACGGGCCGGAGUGGGAUGCAACUUGGGAAAUGAGGCCAGGGGGAAUGGUGGUACAUGAGGAAUUCUGAUUCAGAACAAAGAUCAGUUCCAAUUCCAAGUAAUAAAGUCAAAGCGAAUUAUGGGUCGUCAUCAUAUCUUGAAUUCACUAUUAGUUCCCAAAUAAGUUUCGGUAUAUUUUAAUAUCCUUUUAAUUGUUCUCAUCAAUUAUGUUAAAAUGUGUGAAAUUUAUACAUGUAUUUUUAUUUUUAUUUAUUUUGUAUGUCCUGUAUAUCCAUAAUCAGGUUAAAUUGUUUUCAAUUGUCAGGAUUUGUUCAGGAAGGCUAUAUUGCAACCCGGUCCACCGGUAGAUUUUGCACUUCAGAUUGUUCAUAAAACCUCAAGUUGUUGCUCAUUCAUAUAUCUUUGUAUGUGUAUUGUGUAUAUACAUUAGGACCAUAUUUUUAGUUUGUUUUCUGUUGUGAUUUUUGCUAUAAUUGACUCAUGACUCAAACUGCCUCACGCUAAUAAAGUUAAUUAAUAUCUUAUUAUUUACUGUAUGUAUACAAAUGGUAAAGUGAUAAACAAGACAGUUAAGUAAAGUUUGCAUAAAUUAUCUAAAGAAAAAAGGCAAACAUUUCUAUACCUCAGAACCUGAAUUCUACUUACAACCCAUACCUAACAACAGAAAAUGCAUUAUAUAGUACACACUUUAGCCAACCCACUUCCACUCACCUAAUUUACCAAAAAAAAAUCAGAUUAACUAUACUAAGAUGUAGCAGCUACUUUCCUAAAUUUUUAUGGCACAAUCAACUAUUCAACUAACUUUGUUAAAUACAUGAAACGGAAAUACAUCAGACACUUCAGUGUUGGACUUUGGAUACUGACUCUUCAAUUAAGUUUUAUGACAACUUUUUAUCACAUAAUUCCUUGAUAUGAAAACAGGCAGACUUGCAAAUAAAAAAAUGGACAGGUAGGCGUAAGUUUUAGAUGUGGAGUAUAUUGAUUUGUAGGCUAAUUUAGGUUGUCUUUUUCCUUAAUUUUGGUUCUGGGAAUUGGAUGUCUAUGUAUCAUGUUUGAUUAAAUGCAUGUUAAUUAUAUGAAAUUUCAUUGUAAUUGAUGUUAAUUAUAUAUGGCUUAUGAAAUUUAUUGUGUAGUUACAACCGUUUUAACUGCACAAUCAUCGACCAAUGGAUGAUGUUGUUAUAUUUGGUAGUGUAAGUUUAUCAUAUGAUUAACUCUCUCUAAAUAUAUCUUAUUGAUUUUUUUAAUAACUUAUUUGUUUUAAUUUAUUUUCAUUAAUGUCAUGACAGAUGGAUGACGACUUAGAAAAUAUCGUAUGAUAAGUUUUUUUAAUCAUCAUUUUCUUACCUUUUAUCUAAUCUUUUUACCCGCUUAUUUACUAUUCAUUAUUUUUUUGUCUACAGGUUCGAAGAUUUCGUCAUAAUAAUGUAGGAGUGAUAAUUCGCAAUGAGUAUGAACUAAAUUGUCUCCGUACACACAACACACAUAAUAUACACACAUAACUGUAACCAAUCAAACACUCACAAAUCAAACUCACACACCAUUAUACUGUCACCAAUACAGAUUUAUGAUUUAAAUCAUUAAGCAAAUGAACCGUUUGUUGAAAUGGUACUAAGAAAACUUUAUUUGAUCGUAAGUCCAUAUCUUUUUCUAAAUAAAUUGAUUAUUUAUUACAAUCUCUCUAAAUUCUUACUUAUAUCAAUCUAAAUCAUUCCCCCCCCCCC